rnacentral:pre_miRNA from 1 species
AAGAUACUCCCUCCGUCCGAAAAUACUUGUCGUAGAAAUGGAUGUAUCUAGACUUAUUUUAGUUAAAGAUACAUCCAUUGUAUACAUUUUUAAGACAAGUAUUUACGGACGGAGGGAGUAUAAG